UUAAGCGACUAAGCGUACACGGUGGAUGCCCUGGCAGUCAGAGGCGAUGAAGGACGUGCUAAUCUGCGAAAAGCGUCGGUAAGGUGAUAUGAACCGUUAUAACCGGCGAUGUCCGAAUGGGGAAACCCAGUGUGAUUCGUCACACUAUCGUUAACUGAAUACAUAGGUUAACGAGGCGAACCGGGGGAACUGAAACAUCUAAGUACCCCGAGGAAAAGAAAUCAACCGAGAUUCCCCCAGUAGCGGCGAGCGAACGGGGAGCAGCCCAGAGUCUGAAUCAGCUUGUGUGUUAGUGGAACGGUCUGGAAAGUCCGACGGUACAGGGUGAUAGUCCCGUACACCAAAAUGCACAGGUUGUGAACUCGAAGAGUAGGGCGGGACACGUGGUAUCCUGUCUGAAUAUGGGGGGACCAUCCUCCAAGGCUAAAUACUCCUGACUGACCGAUAGUGAACCAGUACCGUGAGGGAAAGGCGAAAAGAACCCCGGCGAGGGGAGUGAAAAAGAACCUGAAACCGUGUACGUACAAGCAGUGGGAGCACCUUCGGGUGUGACUGCGUACCUUUUGUAUAAUGGGUCAGCGACUUAUAUUCUGUAGCAAGGUUAACCGUAUAGGGGAGCCGCAGGGAAACCGAGUCUUAACUGGGCGUUAAGUUGCAGGGUAUAGACCCGAAACCCGGUGAUCUAGCCAUGGGCAGGUUGAAGGUUGGGUAACACUAACUGGAGGACCGAACCGACUAAUGUUGAAAAAUUAGCGGAUGACUUGUGGCUGGGGGUGAAAGGCCAAUCAAACCGGGAGAUAGCUGGUUCUCCCCGAAAGCUAUUUAGGUAGCGCCUCGUGAAUUCAUCUUCGGGGGUAGAGCACUGUUUCGGCUAGGGGGUCAUCCCGACUUACCAACCCGAUGCAAACUACGAAUACCGAAGAAUGUUAUCACGGGAGACACACGGCGGGUGCUAACGUCCGUCGUGAAGAGGGAAACAACCCAGACCGCCAGCUAAGGUCCCAAAGUCAUGGUUAAGUGGGAAACGAUGUGGGAAGGCACAGACAGCCAGGAUGUUGGCUUAGAAGCAGCCAUCAUUUAAAGAAAGCGUAAUAGCUCACUGGUCGAGUCGGCCUGCGCGGAAGAUGUAACGGGGCUAAACCAUGCACCGAAGCUGCGGCAGCGACACUAUGUGUUGUUGGGUAGGGGAGCGUUCUGUAAGCCUGCGAAGGUGUGCUGUGAGGCAUGCUGGAGGUAUCAGAAGUGCGAAUGCUGACAUAAGUAACGAUAAAGCGGGUGAAAAGCCCGCUCGCCGGAAGACCAAGGGUUCCUGUCCAACGUUAAUCGGGGCAGGGUGAGUCGACCCCUAAGGCGAGGCCGAAAGGCGUAGUCGAUGGGAAACAGGUUAAUAUUCCUGUACUUGGUGUUACUGCGAAGGGGGGACGGAGAAGGCUAUGUUAGCCGGGCGACGGUUGUCCCGGUUUAAGCAUGUAGGCUGGUUGUCCAGGCAAAUCCGGAUAAUCAAGGCUGAGGUGUGAUGACGAGGCACUACGGUGCUGAAGUAACAAAUGCCCUGCUUCCAGGAAAAGCCUCUAAGCAUCAGGUAACAUUAAAUCGUACCCCAAACCGACACAGGUGGUCAGGUAGAGAAUACCAAGGCGCUUGAGAGAACUCGGGUGAAGGAACUAGGCAAAAUGGUGCCGUAACUUCGGGAGAAGGCACGCUGGUGUGUAGGUGAAGUCCCUGCGGAUGGAGCUGAGACCAGUCGAAGAUACCAGCUGGCUGCAACUGUUUAUUAAAAACACAGCACUGUGCAAACACGAAAGUGGACGUAUACGGUGUGACGCCUGCCCGGUGCCGGAAGGUUAAUUGAUGGGGUUAUCCGUAAGGAGAAGCUCUUGAUCGAAGCCCCGGUAAACGGCGGCCGUAACUAUAACGGUCCUAAGGUAGCGAAAUUCCUUGUCGGGUAAGUUCCGACCUGCACGAAUGGCGUAAUGAUGGCCAGGCUGUCUCCACCCGAGACUCAGUGAAAUUGAACUCGCUGUGAAGAUGCAGUGUACCCGCGGCAAGACGGAAAGACCCCGUGAACCUUUACUAUAGCUUGACACUGAACAUUGAGCCUUGAUGUGUAGGAUAGGUGGGAGGCUUUGAAGCGUGGACGCCAGUCUGCGUGGAGCCAACCUUGAAAUACCACCCUUUAAUGUUUGAUGUUCUAACGUUGGCCCCUUACCGGGGUUGCGGACAGUGUCUGGUGGGUAGUUUGACUGGGGCGGUCUCCUCCCAAAGCGUAACGGAGGAGCACGAAGGUUAGCUAAUCCUGGUCGGACAUCAGGAGGUUAGUGCAAUGGCAUAAGCUAGCUUGACUGCGAGCGUGACGGCGCGAGCAGGUGCGAAAGCAGGUCAUAGUGAUCCGGUGGUUCUGAAUGGAAGGGCCAUCGCUCAACGGAUAAAAGGUACUCCGGGGAUAACAGGCUGAUACCGCCCAAGAGUUCAUAUCGACGGCGGUGUUUGGCACCUCGAUGUCGGCUCAUCACAUCCUGGGGCUGAAGUAGGUCCCAAGGGUAUGGCUGUUCGCCAUUUAAAGUGGUACGCGAGCUGGGUUUAGAACGUCGUGAGACAGUUCGGUCCCUAUCUGCCGUGGGCGCUGGAGAAUUGAGGGGGGCUGCUCCUAGUACGAGAGGACCGGAGUGGACGCAUCACUGGUGUUCGGGUUGUCAUGCCAAUGGCACUGCCCGGUAGCUAAAUGCGGAAGAGAUAAGUGCUGAAAGCAUCUAAGCACGAAACUUGCCCCGAGAUGAGUUCUCCCUGAGACUUUAAGUCUCCUGAAGGAACGUUGAAGACGACGACGUUGAUAGGCCGGGUGUGUAAGCGCAGCGAUGCGUUGAGCUAACCGGUACUAAUGAACCGUGAGGCUUAACCUU
rnacentral:rRNA from 1 species